rnacentral:rRNA from 1 species
GACUAUAGCCAUAUCUUCCUGAAUAUACCUGAUCUCACCUGAUCUCAGAAGCUAAACAGUAUCAAGCCUGGUAAGGAAAUGGAUGAGAAAAUAUUCAGUGCUGUAGGCU